GACUUGCGUGUAUUGAUAGGCAUUUGCACUCUACUUCAGGAAAGCUGACAAUCCCAUCAUCACAGCAGCCUACACCGUUACUGGUCGACCAAAUAAGAGGUUCGAGUUGCUUCUACGCCGAAUCAACCACUAAUUUCCCUGCAAGUUGAUUUUUUUGGAGUGCUAGUGUAUUAUUGUCUCUCUUUUGCAGACACAAGAUGAAGACGUGGGCAUUUUUUCUGGUGGUUGCCACUACGGCACUUGUCAUGACAGUGGUUGCUAUGGAGGAAGAGGACAGCGACAACUGGUUUGAGAACAUGAUACAAGAAUACAAAAGAAGACCACGACCUCCACCGCGCUAUUUGUCCUCAAAAACGUGCAAUGGAUAUGGAAAAACGUGCACCAUAAAGAAUAGAAAGCACAACUGCUGUCAAGGAUUAGGUUGCUACAGCAGGUCUGACAAAGACUGCUACGGGACCUCACGGUGCAUAUGUAGGAAAACUCCUGAGCUGAAGUACGUCUACUACAUGGUGUAAACUGGCGCCAUCAACAGGCUUGUAAAAAUCCAUGUAAAACGUUUCAGCUUGCAUGGCAUAUUAUAAAUAUGGCCUGCGUAUUCAUAAAUACAUGUAUUUAUAUAGAGAGUUUCUCCAAUCUCAAUAAUCAAAAUGGUAAUAUCUAGAAAUCAACUAGAUAUUUUGCUGAGAGUUAUUGUGGCGCUAAUAUCGCUUGUGGUACAGUUUCGCUUAAAAUCCAUUAGAGUACAGGCAAGGCUGAUAGUUUGCAUCUCUGUAAAUGGUCAACAAAUGGUCAAAACAACACAUUCAUUAUUGCAUGUAAGUUAUUUAUCGUUCAUUCAAUUUAUUUGUAGCUAAGGCCCGGAUAUGUCCUUAAGUUCACUUUGGCCAAGCUCUCUCUCAAGAGCAAGCUCUCGGACAAGCACUGAGCAAACAGUGUUUAUUAAUACAUACGCUGGGUAAGGGCAAAACCCGUUAUAUAAAUUAACAUCUCCCCAACGCAAAAAAAAAAUACAUCUUGAAAAAAGAAAAUUGUAGUUGGUUGCUCUUAUUAUUUAUAUUCAGGCAAACUUGAAUUCUCAAUCCUGACUGGUCGAUCCAUGGCAAUGAACAGUGUCAUGUAUAACUUUAUGUUCAGGCAAACUUGAAUUCUCAAUUCUGAUUCGUCGAUUUAUGGCAACAAGCAGUAUGAUAUAUAGACAAAAUGGUUCACCCAACUUUCUUUUUACCGUGGAUGUGAAAUCGCUUUACACCCACUCGGUGGUUUGGCUGCGCUCAAACACUGUCUAUAUUUCUGGCAGACUCAAGAUCCUCCUACCGGCACUCUGCUCCGUCUGGCUGAAUUGGUGCUCACGUUGAACAACUUCGCGUUCAACGGUGAGCACUACAUUCAGAUCAGUGGUGUGGCUAUGGACACACGAAUGGGACCAAGUUAUGCAUGUCCGUUUGUUGGCAACAUCGAGGAGCAGAUGCUGACCCAGUAUCAGGGCGUGCAGCCAUUAAUGUACCGGCGAUACAUUGAUGUUAUACUCAAACUCAAAAAGAAGGAAAGCGGGCAAACCAUUUUGAGUGUGUGUGUGUGCCUCAGCUUCGAUAUGGAUUUAUUCACAAACUCCACCGGAAUACCAUCAUACGUAUAUUGGGCAAACCGGUACACGAGGCAGCACCUGCGGCCACCUCGCAUAAAACCAUGCACAUUGAGCUGAACCAUGUACAAACGUGAUACUCAUGACCACGACAACUCCCCAAGGCAUAAGUUCCAAGUAAACGCCAAAACUUAAGGGCGUUAGUCAAGAAUGUCAAUGAUACCCACGAUCACUGAGUCGAGAACGUCCAAAACGGCUCUCGAUUUAUUUAAUACCAGGCACAAUAUGAUAAUUAGGUACUAUCAACCUAAAGAACGCAAGAGUAUAUUUACUAACGCUAGUUUUUCAUGCAUAACAUGAAGGAAGAAACUUCUCGUAACCCGGUACUUGUUUUAAGAACUGUAAUAAGUCAGUAACUUACAGUAUCAUGCAAUCUAAAUUUCCCACCGCUGGAACAUGCGGCUGGGUGUAGCCCGUGUGCAACGUCACAGGCUAUUAAUAAGAUACACAUGUGUACUGGUAUUAAUAAAUUGAAUUAUAAUGUUCAACUCCCCAUUGUCAUGCCGUGUGGCAUCAUGGCGCUUUAGACAUUGUAAUUUACAAAGCUCAAGAUUUAAUUGAUGUAUAGACCAGGUAGCUUAUCAUUUUUUUUUACAAACAAAUGGUGUUCCAUUCUUAUUCUGUAUAAAAAAAACUGCCACUCGUGGGAACCGCGACCAACGGAAAAA